UUAAUUAUAAGCAUACAUACAUUCUUAUACAUAUACACAUUAAUAUAUAUGUAAGUAUACAUACAUACACUCUUUCUCUCUCUCUCUCUCUCUCUCUCUCUUACAGAGGUACCUCAACAUACAAUGGUUACAAGUAACUGCAGUCAGGGAGACUGUUGUCAUUUGAUGUGCUAGAAAUAACAGUCAAAUUUUCCUCAGAUCAAACUCUGCCAUCUCAAAAAAAAAAAAAACGAAUGACACAUUGGAUAAUAUAUUUUCAGAUGGGUUGGUAAUGAUCUUUCAUCAUGAGUUUGUUUAAUCAGAGUAAAACAACGAAAGUAACAAAAAGUUUACAAAGUUGAAUCAAAUUAUUUCUGAUGUAGGCCUUUUGUACACACAACUAAUGAAAUAUGUGCUUCAUGAUUUUUUAUACUACACAUUUUGUUAUGUUUCUAUCGUUUAGCUCCAGGUUAGCUUUUAUUGGGUGGACCUAUGAUCAAAGGCUUUCUAAGCCAUAACCAUCCUAUCUCUUUUUACAUGGCAAUGUGUAUCUGAAAUUUGACUGUUUCUAGUAAGUUAAGUGACCACAUUAGAGUUUACCUCUUGUCUUGUGCCUUUUGUUAUUUAUUGUGUAAGUGAUGUAAGAUAAACUCUGUUCUAUCAGUAUUUUUGAUACUAACAUAUGAAUUGAAUAAAAGUAAUGAUUACUAUA